GACGAACCGUCCAAACGUUAUUCGGAAUUACUGGGCUUAAAGGGUGCGUAGGCGGCGCGGAAAGUUGGAUGUGAAAACUCUGGGCUCAACCCAGAGCCUGCAUCCAAAACUGGAAGGCUAGGGUUCUGGAGGGGAAAGCGGAAUUCCUGGUGUAGCGGUGAAAUGCGUAGAUAUCAGGAGGAACACCGGUGGCGAAGGCGGGUCUCUGGGCAACAACUGACGCUGAGGAGCGAAAGCGUGGGGAGCGAACAGG
rnacentral:rRNA from 1 species